UACAUGUUGUUUCUAAAUAUUGUCAAUUUUUAUAGUUUUUCUUAGUUGUCAAAGCUUUGGCAGAUUGAUAAUUCAUAUUGUCUCCUUCAUAGUAGACAUGUGUCGCUAAUGAGCAUAUAUCUGAAUAUAAUUUGCUAUCGCUUUUGCAGGAGGUUUUAUAGGAUUGGUGAGUGACCAGAAAGACUGACCAAUAUACUUUUUGUCAAAUUUAAAACAAGGAAUUCCAUGAACCGUGUUAGGUAAUUUAUUGAUUGGUGAUUUAGCUUUUUAGAUUUUGUGUUGUUUAAAGAUUCCAGAAAGUUAAGAAGACUGAAUUCACAUAUAGUAUAAAUGUGUAUAAAUAGUUUAGGUAGAAAUGUCAGAAUUGAUGUUCAAUGUUAAAGUCAGUGUCAAAUGUGUUAUACAGAAUUCGUUUUUUUUUUAUUAAUUUUUAAUUAUAUCAUCUAAUUAAUCUUGGAGAGCGUUAAAUGAUACUUCAAUUGGUCUAACUGAUGGGGAAAAGUGACCGUGAUCGUGACCUCAAAGAUUCAUCGGAUGUUACAAAGGGUAGAGCAUCACUCUAGACUAAAUUUAUAAACUCGAAAGGAGACUUUGUUGAAAAAUAAAUAUGAUUGUUGGAAAAAA